UUCUUCUCAGACGCUCCCCCCUUCUCCUCGAAAUCUCCAUGCCCUAAUCCACUGGCGUUCUUUCGAGCUGUUUCAAUUUUCGCCCCAUUUCUUCAGAUUCUUCUUGUUAUGCCCGUACCGGUGUCUCUUGUUUGGUUGUUCCGAUUCCGACGAUGAAACUCCGCAAGUCCGCAGAUCCGACUUCCGAAUUUUUUCGAGUUCUGAUUUCCGCGAGCUUCCAGUCAGUUGCUUCCAGUCAUCUGCCCCAGCUUCCAAUCAGUUACUUGCUCACUGCAGUCUGCCCAAGCUUCGAGCCGAGAGCGUCCACUAUCCAGACUCCAGACCGAAUAAUCUGCCUAGCUCAACACUAUCCCUUCGGGGUAAUUCUAGUUAUGUGAGAGAUUAGAAGAAGCAUUUCGACACACCGAUUUUCGCCAGAACUCGUGAUUCAUGCAGAUUUUUCCCCUUCAAUAUCCAGCGCGGCACCCUUUGAACUGAAGUUCACAAGCAGGCUCCACUGACCUCUAACCAAGUGAGUGAAAAAUUCUCAGUCGGGUCGAGAUUCCAUCAGCAUUAACAGUGCAGCAGCAAAUGGCCUGCAGAUUGGUAUCCCUCUUACGUGCUUCAUGCACCACACCACCACCCGAACCCUUACACUUGACAAGGCAAGCCCGUGGCCGCUCCCUCAGGAUGACUUCGGUGAAGAAAAGCAUAAUUUACGCUCGUGAAUUUGAGCAAUAUAGAUGCAAUUGAAAAAUUCCAAAGACUACGGAUCAGAAGACUUUAACUUACGAGGCCUCUUAUGAGCAGGCGAUGGUGCACCUUCUGAUGUCCUCCCUGGCACCUAUACUCAUAUUUGUUCUUUCGAUCAGUAAUAUGUGUGAGAACAUUCACAAGUGAAGCGAGUCAAUCAGGUAAAUUUUAUGGAAACAAUAUGGACCGCUUAAUGUACCUUCAUUUUCUGAUUGCAUUCGCCGAGUCUAUCACCGGCAAUUCUUUGCCCAAAAA